rnacentral:rRNA from 1 species
GACGAACGCUGGCGGCGUGCUUAACACAUGCAAGUGGAGCGACGAACCGGGGCUUGCCCCGGGGCAAAGCCGCGAACGGGUGAGUAACACGUGGGUAACCCACCUCGAUGACCGGGACAACCCGAGGAAACUCGGGCUAAUACCGGAUGUGCUCUUCUUUCGUAAGGAAGAUGAGGAAAGAUAGCUUCGGCCUUCGCAUCGAGACUGGCCCGCGGCCCAUUAGCUUGUUGGUGGGGUAACGGCCUACCAAGGCUUCGAUGGGUAGCUGGUCUGAGAGGACGAUCAGCCACACUGGGACUGAGACACGGCCCAGACUCCUACGGGAGGCAGCAGUGGGGAAUCUUGCACAAUGCGCGAAAGCGUGAUGCAGCAACGCCGCGUGGGGAAGACGGCC